AAAUUGAAGAGUUUGAUCAUGGCUCAGAUUGAACGCUGGCGGCAGGCCUAACACAUGCAAGUCGAACGGUAACAGGAAGCAGCUUGCUGCUUCGCUGACGAGUGGCGGACGGGUGAGUAAUGUCUGGGAAACUGCCUGAUGGAGGGGGAUAACUACUGGAAACGGUGGCUAAUACCGCAUAACGUCGCAAGACCAAAGAGGGGGACCUUCGGGCCUCUUGCCAUCAGAUGUGCCCAGAUGGGAUUAGCUAGUUGGUGAGGUAACGGCUCACCAAGGCGACGAUCCCUAGCUGGUCUGAGAGGAUGACCAGCCACACUGGAACUGAGACACGGUCCAGACUCCUACGGGAGGCAGCAGUGGGGAAUAUUGCACAAUGGGCGCAAGCCUGAUGCAGCCAUGCCGCGUGUAUGAAGAAGGCCUUCGGGUUGUAAAGUACUUUCAGCGGGGAGGAAGGUGUUGUGGUUAAUAACCGCAGCAAUUGACGUUACCCGCAGAAGAAGCACCGGCUAACUCCGUGCCAGCAGCCGCGGUAAUACGGAGGGUGCAAGCGUUAAUCGGAAUUACUGGGCGUAAAGCGCACGCAGGCGGUCUGUCAAGUCGGAUGUGAAAUCCCCGGGCUCAACCUGGGAACUGCAUUCGAAACUGGCAGGCUUGAGUCUUGUAGAGGGGGGUAGAAUUCCAGGUGUAGCGGUGAAAUGCGUAGAGAUCUGGAGGAAUACCGGUGGCGAAGGCGGCCCCCUGGACAAAGACUGACGCUCAGGUGCGAAAGCGUGGGGAGCAAACAGGAUUAGAUACCCUGGUAGUCCACGCCGUAAACGAUGUCUACUUGGAGGUUGUGCCCUUGAGGCGUGGCUUCCGGAGCUAACGCGUUAAGUAGACCGCCUGGGGAGUACGGCCGCAAGGUUAAAACUCAAAUGAAUUGACGGGGGCCCGCACAAGCGGUGGAGCAUGUGGUUUAAUUCGAUGCAACGCGAAGAACCUUACCUGGUCUUGACAUCCACAGAACUUUCCAGAGAUGGAUUGGUGCCUUCGGGAACUGUGAGACAGGUGCUGCAUGGCUGUCGUCAGCUCGUGUUGUGAAAUGUUGGGUUAAGUCCCGCAACGAGCGCAACCCUUAUCCUUUGUUGCCAGCGAUUAGGUCGGGAACUCAAAGGAGACUGCCAG
rnacentral:rRNA from 1 species